CCGCCAUUAGCUCAGCGGGAAAGAGCGUGUGACUCACGGUGUUGCAGGUGCGGGGUUCGAGACCUCGAUGGCGGUCCA
rnacentral:tRNA from 1 species